AAAUCUUGUGUGUGGCAUGUGAUUAAAAAGCAGAAAAAAACUACAGCAAACGAGGCAAAAAGGGCCCCGAUGAUUAUAAUGAUGAUGACGAUGAUGACGACGACGACGUCAUCAGCGACCAAGCGCAACAGUUUGUUGAAGGAGGCACAAAACACUAACACAUACAGACACUACACACACACACAUACAGAUCACACACACAGAGGACACCAGUCACACACAAUUACACACGCGGCACACACGCACACCGGUUAAACUUGUUAUCGCGGCAUGCAAAAGAACCUAAAACUCUAGGCCACAAACGAGUUCUGGAGCGGCACAGGGCAACACCAACACUAACACUAACAACAACAACAACA